CCCGCUGAACUUAAGCAUAUCAAUAAGCGGAGGAAAAGAAACUAACAAGGAUUCCCCUAGUAACUGCGAGUGAAGCGGGAAAAGCUCAAAUUUAAAAUCUGGCGGUUUCACCGUCCGAGUUGUAAUUUAGAGAAGUGUUAUCCGCGCUGGACCGUGUACAAGUCUCCUGGAAUGGAGCGUCAUAGAGGGUGAGAAUCCCGUCUUUGACACGGACUACCAGGGCAUUGUGAUACGCUCUCAAAGAGUCGAGUUGUUUGGGAUUGCAGCUCAAAAUGGGUGGUAAAUUCCAUCUAAAGCUAAAUAUUGGCGAGAGACCGAUAGCGAACAAGUACCGUGAGGGAAAGAUGAAAAGCACUUUGGAGAGAGAGUUAAACAGUACGUGAAAUUGUUGAAAUGGAAACGCUUGAAGUCAGUCGCGUUCUCUGGGAUUCAGCCUUGCUUCUGCUUGGUGCACUUCCUAGUCUACGGGCCAGCAUGGAUUUCGACCGAUGGAAAAAGGCUUGGGGAAUGUGGCACCUCCGGGUGUGUUAUAGCCCUUUGUCAGACACGUCGGUUGGGAUCGAGGACCUCAGUGCACGCUUCGGUUGUGCUUUGAUGCUGGCGUAAUGGCUUUAAACGACCCGUCUUGAAACACGG
rnacentral:rRNA from 1 species